rnacentral:rRNA from 1 species
AACGCGAAGAACCUUACCAGGUCUUGACAUCCUCUGAACACCUAGGAGACUAGGCUUUCCCCUUCGGGGGACGAAGUGACAGGUGGUGCAUGGUUGUCGUCAGCUCGUGUCGUGAGAUGUUGGGUUAAGUCCCGCAACGAGCGCAACCCUUGAUCUUAGUUGCCAGCAUUCAGUUGGGCACUCUAAGGUGACUGCCGGUGACAAACCGGAGGAAGGUGGGGACGACGUCAAAUCAUCAUGCCCCUUAUGACCUGGGCUACACACGUGCUACAAUGGAUGGUACAAAGGGCAGCAAAACCGCGAGGUUGAGCGAAUCCCAUAAAGCCAUUCUCAGUUCGGAUUGCAGGCUGCAACUCGCCUGCAUGAAGCCGGAAUUGCUAGUAAUCGCGGAUUAGCAUGCCGCGGUGAAUACGUUCCCGGGCCUUGUACACACCG